UAAUACGGAGGGUGCGAGCGUUGUCCGGAAUCAUUGGGCGUAAAGGGCGCGUAGGUGGCCCGGUCAGUCAGUGGUGAAAGCGCGGGGCUCAACCCCGCGUCGGCCAUUGAUACUGCUGGGCUUGAGCACUGUAGAGGCAGGCGGAAUUCCGGGUGUAGCGGUGGAAUGCGUAGAGAUCCGGAAGAACACCGGUGGCGAAGGCGGCCUGCUGGGCAGUUGCUGACACUGAGGCGCGACAGCGUGGGGAGCAAACAGG
rnacentral:rRNA from 1 species